rnacentral:rRNA from 1 species
UACGUAGGGUGCAAGCGUUAAUCGGAAUUACUGGGCGUAAAGCGCGCGCAGGCGGUUUUGUAAGUCUGAUGUGAAAUCCCCGGGCUCAACCUGGGAAUUGCAUUGGAGACUGCAAGGCUAGAAUCUGGCAGAGGGGGGUAGAAUUCCACGUGUAGCAGUGAAAUGCGUAGAGAUGUGGAGGAACACCGAUGGCGAAGGCAGCCCCCUGGGUCAAGAUUGACGCUCAUGCACGAAAGCGUGGGGAGCAAACAGG